AUUGAACGCUGGCGGCAGGCUUAACACAUGCAAGUCGAGCGGGGUGAUGGUGCUUGCACUAUCACUUAGCGGCGGACGGGUGAGUAAUGCUUAGGAAUCUGCCUAUUAGUGGGGGACAACAUCUCGAAAGGGAUGCUAAUACCGCAUACGUCCUACGGGAGAAAGCAGGGGAUCACUUGUGACCUUGCGCUAAUAGAUGAGCCUAAGUCGGAUUCGCUAGUUGGUGGGGUAAAGGCCUACCAAGGCGACGAUCUGUAGCGGGUCUGAGAGGAUGAUCCGCCACACUGGGACCGGAACACCGCCCAGACUCCCACGGGAUGCAGCAGUGGGGAAUAUUGGACAAUGGGGGGAACCCUGAUCCAGCCAUGCCGCGUGUGUGAAGAAGGCCUUAUGGUUGUAAAGCACUUUAAGCGAGGAGGAGGCUCUUUUGGUUAAUACCCAAGAUGAGUGGACGUUACUCGCAGAAUAAGCACCGGCUAACUCUGUGCCAGCCGCCGCUGUAA
rnacentral:rRNA from 1 species